rnacentral:tRNA from 1 species
GGCCCCAUCGUCUAACGGUGAGGACACAGGAUUUUCAUUCCUGAAAUAGGGGUUCGAUUCCCCUUGGGGUCACCA